GAUCCUGGCUCAGAUUGAACGCUGGCGGCAGGCCUAACACAUGCAAGUCGAACGGUAACAGGAAGAAGCUUGCUUCUUUGCUGACGAGUGGCGGACGGGUGAGUAAUGUCUGGGAAACUGCCUGAUGGAGGGGGAUAACUACUGGAAACGGUAGCUAAUACCGCAUAACGUCGCAAUACCAAAGAGGGGGACCUUCGAGCCUCUUGCCAUCGGAUGUGCCCAGAUGGGAUUAGCUAGUAGGUGGGG
rnacentral:rRNA from 1 species